rnacentral:lncRNA from 1 species
GAACUAUUGUUCCAGUUCUCGGAGAUCUCUGAAAGGAUUUUAUUCUGGAAUAAUAUUGCAGAUAGUUCAGGAACCAUGCUACCUGUUCUCUAACUGAACCAAGAACCAGACCCUGGAGCAGGACUGUGCUGGUACUGGUUGGCUGCAGGUCCACUGGAGUCCUAGCGUUGAGAGAGACCCUAAUAGGGAAAAGGCCAGCAGAAAAGCUCUCCUUCAAGUUAGCUUCCAUCUUCAUUCAAAGUCAAAUAAAUGUCUUAGAGAAGUUACAAAGAAAUAUCCUUCGGCAGAAAUACGGA